rnacentral:rRNA from 1 species
ACUCCUACGGGAGGCAGCAGUGGGGAAUAUUGGACAAUGGGCGAAAGCCUGAUCCAGCGACGCCGCGUGAGUGAAGAAGUAUUUCGGUAUGUAAAGCUCUAUCAGCAGGGAAGAAAAUGACGGUACCUGACUAAGAAGCCCCGGCUAACUACGUGCCAGCAGCCGCGGUAAUACGUAGGGGGCAAGCGUUAUCCGGAUUUACUGGGUGUAAAGGGAGCGUAGACGGUUAAGCAAGUCUGAAGUGAAAGCCCGGGGCUCAACCCCGGUACUGCUUUGGAAACUGUUUGACUUGAGUGCAGGAGAGGUAAGUGGAAUUCCUAGUGUAGCGGUGAAAUGCGUAGAUAUUAGGAGGAACACCAGUGGCGAAGGCGGCUUACUGGACUGUAACUGACGUUGAGGCUCGAAAGCGUGGGGAGCAAACAGGAUUAGAUACCCUGGUAGUC